AUUGAACGCUGGCGGCAUGCUUUACACAUGCAAGUCGAACGGUAACAGGCCGCGAGGUGCUGACGAGUGGCGCACGGGUGAGUAUUGUAUCGGAACGUGUCCCGUCGUGGGGGAUAACUACUCGCAAGAGUAGCUAAUACCGCAUACGCUCUAUGGAUGUAAGCGGGGGACAGUAAGGCCUCGCGCGAUUUGAGCGGCCGAUGUCAGAUUAGGUAGUUGGUGGGGUAAAGGCUCACCAAGCCAACGAUCUGUAGCUGGUCUGAGAGGACAACCAGCCACACUGGGACUGAGACACGGCCCAGACUCCUACGGGAGGCAGCAGUGGGGUAUUUUGGACAAUGGGCGCAAGCCUGAUCCAGCAAUGCCGCGUGCAGGAAGAAGGCCUUCGGGUUGUAAACUGCUUUUGUACGGAACGAAACGGCUCUGGUUAAUACCCGGGGCUAAUGACGGUACCGUAAGAAUAAGCACCGGCUAACUACGUG
rnacentral:rRNA from 1 species